AGUGAACGCUGGCGGUAGGCCUAACACAUGCAAGUCGAACGGCAGCACAGUAAGAGCUUGCUCUUACGGGUGGCGAGUGGCGGACGGGUGAGGAAUACAUCGGAAUCUACUUUUUCGUGGGGGAUAACGUAGGGAAACUUACGCUAAUACCGCAUACGACCUACGGGUGAAAGCAGGGGAUCUUCGGACCUUGCGCGAUUGAAUGAGCCGAUGUCGGAUUAGCUAGUUGGCGGGGUAAAGGCCCACCAAGGCGACGAUCCGUAGCUGGUCUGAGAGGAUGAUCGGCCACACUGGAACUGUGACACGGUCCAGACUCCUACGGGAGGCAGCAGUGGGGAAUAUUGGACAAUGGGCGCAAGCCUGAUCCAGCCAUACCGCGUGGGUGAAGAAGGCCUUCGGGUUUUAAAGCCCUUUUGUUGGGAAAGAAAAGCAGCAGGUUAAUACCCCGCUGUUCUGACGGUACCCAAAGAAUAAGCACCGGCUAACUUCGUG
rnacentral:rRNA from 1 species